rnacentral:rRNA from 1 species
GUCUUUUAGAAAAAAAUUAAAAGUCUAAUCUGCCCAAUGAUUAUUAAAUGGCCGCGGUAAACUGACUGUGCAAAGGUAGCAUAAUAAUUAGUCUUUUAAUUAAAGGCUUGUAUGAAUGAUUGAAUGAGAUAUUUUCUUUAUUGCUUUUAACAUUUUAAUUUAAUUUUUAAGUAAAAAAGCUUAAAUUAUUAUGUGGGACGAGAAGACCCUAUAGAGUUUAAAAAUUAAUCUAAUCAAUUAUUUUUGGUUUUUGUUAUUAAAUAGAUUUUAUUAAUUUUUUUGUUGGGGUGAUAUUAAAAUUUAAUGAACUUUUAAUUUAUUAUUCAUUAAUUAAUGAUUUCAUGUUCUUAUUUUAAAAAUAAAGGACUAAAUUACCUUAGGGAUAACAGCGUAAUUAAACUAUAGAGUUCUAAUCGACAGUUUAGUUUGCGACCUCGAUGUUGGAUUAAGAAAAGAUUUUGGGGCAAAUUCUAUUAUGUCUAGGUCUGUUCGACCUUUAAAUUCUU